ACAAUCCUACAUGCAAGUGGAAACUUGAAAGGAGACAUGGGGCCGCAAACUCUCCCACAAACACUCAGUAACCACAUAACAGCUGCCUGAUGCAGAGCAGAGUCUCAUAAUCUGAUUAUCCUGACUGAUGUACUACACCAUCCAGAAAAAAACCUGAAGAUGGAAGUGAUCACAGCAGAACUGAAUGAUACAAUCUAUGGUUCCAACAAUCAGAGAAGAGAUGUGGGCUCCACGCCCAGUGUGGAGCCCAACGUGGGGCUUGA